GAUGAACGCUAGCUACAGGCUUAACACAUGCAAGUCGAGGGGCAGCGGGAUUGAAGCUUGCUUCAAUCGCCGGCGACCGGCGCACGGGUGAGUAACGCGUAUCCAACCUUCCGUACACUCAGGGAUAGCCUUUCGAAAGAAAGAUUAAUACCUGAUGGUAUGAUGAGAUUGCAUGAUAGCAUCAUUAAAGAUUUAUCGGUGUACGAUGGGGAUGCGUUCCAUUAGGUAGUAGGCGGGGUAACGGCCCACCUAGCCAACGAUGGAUAGGGGUUCUGAGAGGAAGGUCCCCCCACAUUGGAACUGAGACACGGUCCAAACUCCUAACGGGAGGCAGCAGUGAGGAACUAUUGGUCAAUGGACGAGAGUCUGACCAGCCAAGUAGCGUGAGGAUGACUGCCCUAUGGGUUGUAAACUUCUUUUAUAAAGGAAUAAAGUCGGGUAUGGAUACCCGUUUGCAUGUACUUUAUGAAUAAGGAUCGGCUAACUCCGUGCCAGCAGCCG
rnacentral:rRNA from 1 species